ACACGUGAGGUGGGUUCAGAACGUCGCGAGACAGUUCGGUUUCUAUCUGCUAAGGCAAAGUUAGACACUAGUCACGCUUCGCUACUAGUACGAGAGGACUGCAGUGAUAGACGCUCAAGUCAUUCGGUUCUUUCGAAAC
rnacentral:rRNA from 1 species